rnacentral:lncRNA from 1 species
UUCUCUAGAAUAGGUCUCAUAUCUAGAGGAUAAAUGACGUUUCUCCCCCUAUAAUAGCAUAGAAGAAGUCAUGAGGGAAAUGGAUACACUCACAUGAAUAUCAGGAGUAAAUCUGCUCACUCUCUGAGUAGUUACUAUUCCCAAGGAAGCUUAAGAAUCAAUCCCAGUGAGGGUGUAAUACCUCAUUAGCAUGAUCAUAAAAAAAC